rnacentral:rRNA from 1 species
AUGAAUAGAUGGAAAGUUUUUCGUAAAAAAAAAAGAAGGAAGGAAAGAAACCAUCAGAAAACUCGGAAAAAAAAUGAAAAAACAAAAAACGCAGAAAAACCAGAAGAAGAGAAAGACGGAAGAAAAACGGCCCCAGCCGCACUAAGCAGGCCUAACAGCGCCGCGGGGGAUCUGCCUUUCCUCUUCUCCAGUCCAGUCCAACGAAGCCUGCGUGGCCCAACUUCAAUCAUAGUGGCGGCCCGGGAGGAAUCAGACUGUAUCUCAGCAGCCCAGCUUAAUACCGGCCUUUGGUCAUCCGGGAUUGAACCCCUUCCGCUCUUUCCCUAA